CGAGACCACUGGCUUCCAGGUUCACACUGCGCGCUUCCACCGCCGGGGCCAUCUACUUUAAGAAGCCCACGAAAUCGUAUUAGUGUAAACGCUGGCAAACACGUCGUUUUAUACAGCACCUCAGAUAAAGGUUGGGAUCAGACAUCCAUCAUUGCUCCCAGAAGUUUGGAUGGAUUUUUUGCCACCUGUCUAUGCAUAUCAUUCAGCAAUGGAUUGGUCAUUCCCGUUAUACCAUAAAUAUUUCAACAUUUUGUGUGCCUCUGUAAUGAGAGGAAGAGUGAUACUACAUGAGGCUGAAUGUGAUGGCCAUGCCUCCAAGCUACAUGGCUCCAUGCAGCCUCCCAAACAGUCUUCUUCUAGUCACCAUGGCAGAGGUGCAGGCUCGUGCCCAUGA
rnacentral:lncRNA from 1 species